AAUGCACCGGAUCCCAUCAGAACU
rnacentral:ncRNA from 2 species